UCCUUUUGUGUUCUCUUGGGUUCUUUUUGGGAAAAUCGACAUAUCGAUAUAUUCUCAACGUUUUAGUCUAACUAAUUUAUCUUUAUUUGUGUGUGUGUGUGUUUUUUUUUUUUUUGGUUGUUUUUUAUUUGUUAUUCAUCUAUUCAGUUUUGUUUUACUUUGGAAUUUAACACACCCUAAAUUCCACCCCCUUUUAAAAAAUAAUACGAAUAAUUUCAUGUUACUAUCCGGAAAUAAAUUCCGAAUAUGCUUUACGUCUUACAAUUUUGGGACACCUAUCGGGAAAAAUAACAAUGGCCGGCCAAACUUCGUGUACAACAGACAGAACAGAAAGCAGUUGACGAAGAUGGAAGAUGACGACAGAAAACAGAAACUAAAGGCCGGAAAACAGAAGUUGGCAGAAUUUCAGAAGAAAAGAAAGAAAAAGAAAACCUUGCCACAAGAAGAAGAUGAAAAAGAAAGUGUUUCCAUGGAAACCAACCAGAGUUCAAAGUUGUAAUGCAUACUAUCAAAACCAAUCAAGAAUUCAAUACUUACCCAUAUAAUAUUUCAAUGCUAUCUCAAGCAGGAAAGAGAGUAUAAAAAGUACUAUUUUUUCCUCUUUUCUGAUGACCUUGACCUUUGACCUUGACCUAAUUUUCAAGGUCAAAGGUCACCGAUCCUAUUCCAGUUGGUCCCAUGUCUCUACGACAAACCGUGCUCAAGCUCGACAUGUUUUACGAAUAAAUCGCAAAACAUAGAGAGGCAUUAACUCCCCUUAGGGGACACCGAAUCCCUUCAUUUGAAAUUCUUCGCUUCUACUAAUUACCCUCUGUGUUUUAGAAAAGGUUUCAUCCUCCUAUCAUUUACGGUUACAAAGUAGAAGUGCUAACAAUGAUUUCUGCGAAAGGUCAAAUAACUCCGUAAGGGGUCAAAGUUCAAUUACGCAGGGUGAACUGUAUUCGUUUCUCAAGAAGUACUAUAUGAUGGACUAUAAAGUUUUUCGAUAAGUCUUAAGACGAAGAUUUUUUUUGACGGCAGGAAAAUAAUAAUAAUAAUAAUAAUAAACAGAACAAUAACAAUAGGACUUUCCACAGAAAGGUGGAAAGCCCUAAUAAUAAACAGAACAAUAACAAUAGGACUUUCCACAGAAAGGUGGAAAGCCCUAACUAGUGAUCCUAAUUGUUCGCGAACAAUUAGAGGGCUUCCCACCUUCUAGCGGUUUUUCAGUAGUGUUGAAAUGCUAAAAGCCCCCCCCCCCCUACCCCACCCCACCCUCACCAAAAAAAAAAAAAAAAAAAAUGGAUUUGGCUAGAAAAGAAAUUCAAAUUUGCCGCCUAAAUUUGAGUGUUGAGGUGUGUUCAAUGCUUGGUUUCGCAUUAAGUACCCGUCAAAUUUGAGGGAGAAAAGGGGUGUGGGUGUUGGGUAGCCAGCACAUAUGCACAUAUCAGGUAAAAGUGUAAUGGGACUUGUGCAGGUGUUUGGGGUGACUUUAGACCUGUUAGAUGUGAUAUUUGGAGGUGCAAAGAAACCGGAUGUGCCAUUUUCCUAGAUUGUAGUAACUGCUGGUGCAUGCUGGGAGUCUAUACAAGCCUCAUGUUGUCAGAUGUUGUGAAGAUGCACUGGAUUUGACCGUGUGUGUUGUGGAUUGUGGAAUUGAAUAUACAGUUUGUAAUGGCUCAUCCUAUGUGUUCUAAUUCACGGAGACAAUGUCUUUCAGUCAUUUCACCCAAGGAGGCAUGCAUAUACGGAUUGAUAGGCUUUGACAACAAACAACCAAAAUGGCGGCCGGUGACCAUUAGAAAGUGUCUGAGUGCAUGUAGGAUAUCUGAACGGAGAAUAGGAGUACUGCAUCCCAUCUGAUCCUGCAGUCAUUUCACCCAAGGAGGCAUGCAUAUACGGAUUGAUAGGCUUUGACAACAAACAACCAAAAUGGCGGCCGGUGACCAUUAGAAAGUGUCUGAGUGCAUGUAGGAUAUCUGAACGGAGAAUAGGAGUACUGCAUCCCAUCUGAUCCUGCAGGUAAGUGUUUAUUUGUUUACAAUGACAGUCGGGAUGGAAUGUCAAUGAGUUCAACUGUCGAGUAAAGUUGCAUCAUCAUUAUCAAAAAAAAAACAACUUAGUCUUUAUGUUGAUGCAGGCAGACAAUUGAAUCUGGCCUAUGUCUUUUCAUGAAUGUAAAUGGAAUUCAUGUUUGAUUGACAAGACAGUCAAGAAAUGGAAGAAGUGGGUGUAGGUCAGAUGUGUAGGUGUAGGUCAGAUUAGCUAGAAUCCUGUAAUUGUUGCAUGGCAUGAGACCGGUCAAAAUAGUGUAUUGAAACAGCUGAUCACAAUCAGAUCACUUGAAGGGUGGGGGAUUUCUUCCUUGGGGACGACAGGCGUGAUGGGUGGGUUGGCCUUACUCGUGGAGACUGGCCCCUGGAUGCGUGACCUUGACCUUUGACCUUGACCCACUUUCAAGGUCAAACCUCAAAAAUCCUGUUGUUGGGCAUGAAACCGGUCAAAAUAGUGUAUUAUAAACAGCUGAUGACAGACAGAUCACUUGAAGGGUGGGGGGUUUCUUCCUUGGGGACGACAGGCGUGAUGGGUGGGUUGGCCUUACUCGUGGAGACUGGCCCCUGGAUGCGUGACCUUGACCUUUGACCUUGACCCACUUUCAAGGUCAAACCUCAAAAAUCCUGUUGUUGGGCAUGAAACCGGUCAAAAUAGUGUAUUAUAAACAGCUGAGGACAGACAGAUCACUUGAAGGGUGGGGGGUUUCUUCCUUGGGGACGACAGGCGUGAUGGGUGGGUUGGCCUUACUCGUGGAGACUGGCCCCUGGAUGCGUGACCUUGACCUUUGACCUUGACCCACUUUCAAGGUCAAACCUCAAAAAUCCUGUUGUUGGGCAUGAAACCGGUCAAAAUAGUGUAUUAUAAACAGCUGAGGACAGACAGAUCACUUGAAGGGUGGGGGGUUUCUUCCUUGGGGACGACAGGCGUGAUGGGUGGGUUGGCCUUACUCGUGGAGACUGGCCCCUGGAUGCGUGACCUUGACCUUUGACCUUGACCCACUUUCAAGGUCAAACCUCAAAAAUCCUGUUGUUGGGCAUGAAACCGGUCAAAAUAGUGUAUUAUAAACAGCUGAGGACAGACAGAUCACUUGAAGGGUGGGGGGUUUCUUCCUUGGGGACGACAGGCGUGAUGGGUGGGUUGGCCUUACUCGUGGAGACUGGCCCCUGGAUGCGUGACCUUGACCUUUGACCUUGACCCACUUUCAAGGUCAAACCUCAAAAAUCCUGUUGUUGGGCAUGAAACCAGUCAAAAUAGUGUAUUAUAAACAGCUGAUCACAGACAGAUCACUUGAAGGGUGGGGGAUUUCUUCCUUGGGGACGACAGGCGUGAUGGGUGGGUUGGCCUUACUCGUGGAGACUGGCCCCUGGAUGCUUGACCUUGACCUUUGACCUUGACCCACUUUCAAGGUCAAACCUCAAAAACCCAUGGGGGAGAAAGUGUGACCUUGACCUUUGACCUUGACCUCAUUUUGAAGGUCAGAGAGGUCACGGGGCUUCGUUUAAGUGGUCCCGCAUCCCUAUCUACAUCCGUGAAGAAGUUGUGGGCUCGAACGACGACGUCGGAGACUUUCGGGGGCGAGAACCGUGCUUCGGGGUUCUCGGUUUCCCUCGGUCAACUUUUCUGUGCGAGAGCGUUUCAUCUGGAAUUCGUCGGCGAAGGUCUCGCCUCUCCACGACUUGCGGUCUAGUGAGAGUAGCGAUAACGGGGUUUUCGACGUUAAGUCGCCGCCAUUCGCAGAGUGGUCAAAGUUCAGAGUUGACAUUCGUGAUGCCGAGACCGGUCCAAAAUUCCUUGCUGACCCAUGUGAUAUUUCGAUGCUAUCUGAAGCGUGAAAGAGCGUAUAAAAAGUGCCAUUUUCUGGCCAUUCUGGAUGACCUUGACCUUUGACCUUGACCUACUUUUUCAAGGUCAAGGUCACCCAACCCGUCCCAGUGGGUUCCGUCUCUCUACGACGAAGACUUUAGGAGUCGUCAAUUUGUAGGGGACAAAUCGCAAAACAUGAGGGGGCAUUAACUCCCUUUAGGGGACACCGAAUCCCUUCAUUUGAAAUUCUUCGCUUCUACUAAUUACCCUCUGUGUUUUAGAAAAGGUUUCAUCCUCCUAUCAUUUACGGUUACAAAGUAGAAGUGCUAACAAUGAUUUCUGCGAAAGGUCAAAUAACUCCGUAAGGGGUCAAAGUUCAAUUACGCAGGGUGAACUGUAUUCGUUUCUCAAGAAGUACUAUAUGAUGGACUAUAAAGUUUUUCGAUAAGUCUUAAGACGAAGAUUUUUUUUGACGGCAGGAAAAUAAUAAUAAUAAUAAUAAUAAUAAUAAUAAUAAUAAACAGAACAAUAACAAUAGGACUUUCCACUGAAAGGUGGAAAGCCCUAAUAACUAGUGAUCCUAAUUGUUCGCGAACAAUUAGAGGGCUUUCCACCUGCAAUGAUUUAAAAAAAGACAUUUAAGAAUAUUUAAGAUGGUGUACGAAACUCGAAAUGACCAAGAAAAUUUAAUUAAUAAUUUUCACGAUGACCUUGACCUUUGACCUUCACCUCAUUUUGAAGGUCAAAGGUCAUCGGUCUUAAUGCAAGUGAUCCCAUGUCUCUAUCUAUAUU